UAAAGGCUAUGUAGCAUGGAUACGGAUACGCGUAUCGGUAUCGGAAGGAUACGGAUACGUGGAUAUGUCAAAUUUCUGCAAAAGUUAAAGGCAUAAAGGUGUAUCGGAUACGGAUACACGGAUACGUAUCGGAUACGUGAUACGGGGUCAUGUUGAAGUAUCGGGGUUAUAUAGGAUAAAGGUGAUCAUGGUCUGCCCAUUUUGUUUUAGAAGCUCAUUUACAUAUGCCUACAGUGGGAAGAAACUAUUAUAGGCCUGACUUGAGAAAAGCUUCAAAACAGUGUAAUAUUCUUGGUCAGCUCAUGGUUAUUGUACUCUUUUCAAAUGCGACAAUUUUAUCAUAGCUGCUAUAAGUGAACAUCAGGUUUAUCAAAACUUAUGGGACACAUAUAAUUGUUGAAAUGGCAAUCCGAGCUCAGGAUGUUAUAUGUGUUAAACGAUAUCAUUCUUUAUUCAACUGCUGAUUUAAAUCUGCAUGUGGCGGAUCUUAGUGAUUUUUUUUCCUGAUGGGAAGAGCCAUUUCCCAAUAUAUCACAAAACAAAGAGCAAGGUGCGUGAUGUUUCUGUCAGGAUAGUGCAGCAACCUAAUAACCUGCACCUUUCUACCUACUCUGAAACAUCAACCAAGGAUGUAAGUAUUUCUUAUAACUUAGUGUCAAUUUGCUGCCUCAUGAUAUCGAGAUCGAGACAUAAGUGCCAAGGAAAUCUGAUGCUAUUAUGUUCAAAUUUGCCCCUAUCACUUCUCUUCUUACUGGUAUUCCUGGUAGUGGUUACCUCAGCCAUGCCAUUAAUUUAUAUCUUCGCUGUAAGUCCGAAAAUAAAUCUUUUUCAUAGAACUAUGUUACACGCUGUUUACUUUGUUAACUGUCUUUUAAUUGAAACAUCUUGGUUUGGAAGCUAUUUAGCUGAUUAGGUUAUUCUACGGUUUGUUCUCCCAGAUAAACCUGAUCUUCAAGACUUGCAGUAUUUCUUGAAGUUUCAAGCGCCUCUACAAUGGGCACCUAUGUUCAAUGAGCUUGUCCUCAUAAUUUUUUAGAGAUGCUUUUUGCUAUUUUCUGUAUGCCUCAUCCAAAUAUGGGUGCAUGUGUCUGAGGUAGCCACAAGGGCCCUAGAGGAUGCUUCUGAUCACUAUAAUUUUGGUGUCAACAUAAGAUCCUCAUUCAAAUAUUAGUAUUUUUUGGUAAUGUGUGUCUGUACCUUAGUUAUCCCAUUUGAUCACAUUUCAGACAAUAGCAAGAACUUGUUUGUCAAUUUAUUCUUGUCUUAAGACUGGAUGUUAGAUUGUUUACUAGGAAAUAUAUUGUCACAUGCUGUCACAUGUCACAGAUAAUGAUGAUUUAAUGAUCCCAAGUUUGACUGUUAGAUAAUCUGAUCUCGGUGACUUGGAAGCUUCACGGGCUUCUUUUCCUCAACAAUUCAAGAGCAUUAGCUUCACUGUUUGGGAUGUCGGCUGCCAAGACAAGCAAUCUCAUGGAUUUCUACUACCCUAAAGUACAGUACAAACCUGAAGCAAUUUGCUGGUAUAAAAUUCCAGAUUGGCAUGCACAGACAGGAAUUAGGGAAGUGGUUUUUAUCUGACAGUGAUAUAUUUGAUGACUAGCAUGCACAGUGUAAUCAAAAUUAGAGCAUUUUACUCUUGA